rnacentral:rRNA from 1 species
UACGAAGGGGGCUAGCGUUGCUCGGAAUGACUGGGCGUAAAGGGCGCGUAGGCGGCGAUCAAGGUCAGAUGUGAAAUUCCUGGGCUUAACCUGGGGGCUGCAUUUGAUACGCGGUGGCUUGAGUGCGGAAGAGGGUCGUGGAAUUCCCAGUGUAGAGGUGAAAUUCGUAGAUAUUGGGAAGAACACCGGUGGCGAAGGCGGCGACCUGGUCCGUGACUGACGCUGAGGCGCGAAAGCGUGGGGAGCAAACAGG